AUGGAAUGUUCUUUGCCGUUUGGAGGAAAGGUUGUUGUCUUUGGUGGUGAUUUCAGGCAGGUCCUACCCGUUGUGACACGUGGGACAAGAGCACAGAUAACAGAUGCUACACUUCUGAGAUCCUAUCUUUGGGAGAAGACCCGCAAGAUACGUCUCACGCGCAAUAUGCGGGCAUAGGCUGAUCCUUGGUUCUCAGAAUACCUACUAAGGAUAGGCAAUGGAACUGAAGAGACAAUUGGCGACGAUUAUGUCCGUCUCCCCGAGGACAUUGUCAUUGGCUAUACCGAGGAUGAAAAAGCUAUUAACAUGCUCAUCGAAGAUGUCUUCCCAUCUUUGCAGGCCAAUGCUAGAUCGAGAGAGUACAUGAGUGCACGUGCUAUUCUUUCAACCAAGAACGAUCAUGUCGAUGACCUGAAUGACAAAAUGAUCUCCAGGUUUCCAGGCGAAGAAAAGUUAUACCAUAGUUUUGACUCAAUUGAGGAUGACUUGCAGAAUAAUUACACAAUUGAUUUUUUGAACUCAAUCACACCAAAUGGCUUGCCCCCGCAUGUUUUGAAAUUAAAGGUCAACUGUCCAGUCAUUCUGCUCCGGAACCUCGACCCUCAUAAUGGUCUAUGCAAUGGAACACGGCUUAUGAUCAGAGCCUUUCAGGAUAAUGCAAUCGAUGCGGAGAUUGUUGGUGGUCAGCAUGCUGGAAAGAGGGUGUUUAUACCNNNNNNNNNNCCCUCGCCCUGGUCUCCGCGACGUCCUGGACCCGCCUUGCAGCCCUAA
rnacentral:rRNA from 1 species